rnacentral:rRNA from 1 species
ACGAACGCUGGCGGCGUGCUUAACACAUGCAAGUCGAACGGAAAGGCCCUGCUUGCAGGGUACUCGAGUGGCGAACGGGUGAGUAACACGUGGGUGAUCUGCCCUGCACUUCGGGAUAAGCCUGGGAAACUGGGUCUAAUACCGGAUAGGAGCCAUUUUUAGUGUGAUGGUUGGAAAGUUUUUUCGGUGUAGGAUGAGCUCGCGGCCUAUCAGCUUGUUGGUGGGGUAAUGGCCUACCAAGGCGGCGACGGGUAGCCGGCCUGAGAGGGUGGACGGCCACAUUGGGACUGAGAUACGGCCCAGACUCCUACGGGAGGCAGCAGUGGGGAAUAUUGCACAAUGGGCGCAAGCCUGAUGCAGCGACGCCGCGUGGGGGAUGACGGCCUUCGGGUUGUAAACUCCUUUCGCUAGGGACGAAGCUUUUUGUGACGGUACCUAGA